rnacentral:rRNA from 1 species
UACAGAGGUCUCAAGCGUUGUUCGGAUUCAUUGGGCGUAAAGGGUGUGUAGGUGGCGCCGUAAGUCGGGUGUGAAAUUUCGGAGCUUAACUCCGAAACUGCAUUCGAUACUGCGGUGCUUGAGGACUGGAGAGGAAACUGGAAUUUACGGUGUAGCAGUGAAAUGCGUAGAGAUCGUAAGGAAGACCAGUGGCGAAGGCGAGUUUCUGGACAGUUACUGACGCUGAGGCACGAAGGCCAGGGGAGCAAACGGG